rnacentral:rRNA from 1 species
CAAUAGCGUAUAUUAAAGCUGUUGCGGUUAAAAGCUCGUAGUUGGAUUUCUGUCAAGGACAACUGGUCCGCCCUUCGGGUGAGCACAUAGUUUGGUCUUGGCAUCUUGUUGGAAACUGUUGCUGCACUUGGUUGUGUGGCGCAGCGUCCAGCACUUUCACUUUGAGGAAAUUGGAGUGUUUCAAGCAGGCACAUGCCUUUGGACACAGUAGCAUGGAAUAAUUAGAUUGGGCUUUUGCUCCAACUUGUCGGUUUCUGGAGCUGAGGUGAGAAUUAAUGGGGAUUGUUGGGGGCAUCCGAAUUUAGCCGUCAGAGGUGAAAUUCUUGGAUCUGCUAAAGACGGACAACUGCGAAAGCGUUUGCCCAGGAUGUUUUCAUUG